GACUGAAGUACGAGUUCAAACUCGAUUCAUCUUGGGUGCAUCUGUUUCGUGGAACUGCCAGCAGAACUACCAUUGUUGUGAGAGAGGAACUGUCCCUUUACAUAGUGCCUGUGGAUGCUGCAUAGUUCUCAGGUGCAACAUGAGCGAGGGGAGGAGAUUUUCUUAGCAAUAUGAACACUGGAAAAUUCUCCCUGGCAAUAUCAGCACUUCUGCCUUAGU